GUCCACGCCGUAAACGAUGGAUACUAGUUGUUGGGCGUAAGUUCAGUGGCUAAGCGAAAGUGAUAAGUAUCCCACCUGGGGAGUACGUUCGCAAGAAUGAAACUCAAAGGAAUUGACGGGGGCCCCGCACAAGCGGAGGAACAUGUGGUUUAAUUCGAUGAUACGCGAGGAACCUUACCAGGGCUUAAAUGUAGUUUGACCGAUUUGGAAACAGAUCUUUCGCAAGACAAAUUACAAGGUGCUGCAUGGUUGUCGU
rnacentral:rRNA from 1 species